ACCCUAACCCAUCAGAACCUCAUAAUUUGCCCAUACUCUGAACAUCUUAAAAUUGUUCUGCAGGUCAGUAAUAUCAAGUAGGUGUCGAAGUAUUUCAUCAAUAUGUUUGAUGUUGGUGUCUUCAACAGCUGGUACCAUCUAGAGAAUAAGUCCUUACUUGAGCUGAACACCAUUCAGUUUCUCCUGUUGCUUUAAACUUGCUGUUGGGAGAAAAGCUCAUGUUACACACAUAUGACAUUUUAUCUAUCACGUCCAUUAUGUGGAAUCUUUCCAGGGCUGAUAGCUUGGGACUCCAUCUCUCCUGAUAAACAGGAAGUCAGUGGAAAAAUGGGAGGAAGUGUAACACUCCGAUGCUGCUAUGAUACAGCCGUGUCACAACGUUAUUAAUCCAAAGGGGACCAGGUAACCAAGUUACAAAUGUAAUAGCAUGUGUUCACCUAAAGAGGGAGUCACUACAAUGGAAAACAACCUACAAGUGGUGCUGGGGUUUGGUUCUCCUUUAAAUAAAUUAAAUCUCAACAAUGCACAUAGCAAGACCCCCAUCCAGUGAGCUGACAUCCUUUGGUGGUGGCUUCAUAAACGCUAGCAAAGUAAAGGAAAAUCAAAAUGUGUUUACCCAUAGCGAAACUCAGCUUUUGCUGUGAUGCCCCCUAUUGGUCAUGAAUGGUAACAGGUCUGCUGGGUAUUGGAGAGCCUUGGAGAGAUGAGAUGAUGGGAGGAGCCAGCCACAAAAGGACUUUUGAGUAAAAUGUGUUUAUGUUUCUCUCUCCUGCUUUACUGGAACUCGCUCUGCUCUCCACUGCCUCACUCCAUCAUGCUCUUUGCACUCGUGAUAUGUUUCAUUUUAUGUGGUCCAAGUGUUGAAGACAGUAUCAGUCAGCAGAAGGAUGUCCAAUGUGCUGUUGAGGGUGCUGCUGUGGUGCUCUCAUGCAGCUACAACAGCU